rnacentral:rRNA from 1 species
UACGUAGGGUGCAAGCGUUGUCCGGAAUUAUUGGGCGUAAAGAGCUCGUAGGCGGUUCGUCGCGUCGGCUGUGAAAACCUGAGGCUCAACCUCAGGCCUGCAGUCGAUACGGGCGGACUUGAGUACUGCAGGGGAGACUGGAAUUCCUGGUGUAGCGGUGGAAUGCGCAGAUAUCAGGAGGAACACCGGUGGCGAAGGCGGCAUCCUGGACCGGUAUUGACGCUGAGGCGCGAAAGCUAGGGGAGCAAACGGG